rnacentral:rRNA from 1 species
UAUAGACGAAAGCUUAGUGGCGGACGGGUGAGUAACGCGUGGAGAAUCUGCCCUCAAGACUGGGAUAACAGAGCGAAAGUUCUGCUAAUACCGGAUAUGCUCUGAGUGUCGCAUGGCACAAAGAGGAAAGCACAAGCGCUUGAGGAUGACUCCGCGUCCCAUUAGCUAGUUGGUGAGGUAAAGGCUUACCAAGGCGACGAUGGGUAGCCGGCCUGAGAGGGUGACCGGCCACACUGGGACUGAGACACGGCCCAGACUCCUACGGGAGGCAGCAGUAGGGAAUUUUCCGCAAUGGGCGCAAGCCUGACGGAGCAACGCCGCGUGAAGGAAGAAGGCCUUCGGGUCGUAAACUUUUGUCUUUGGGGACGAUAAUGACGGUACCCGAGGAGGAAGCCCCGGCUAACUACGUGCCAGCAGCCGCGGUAAUACGUAGGGGGCGAGCGUUGUCCGGAAUUACUGGGCGUAAAGGGCGUGUAGGCGGCCUAAUAAGUCAGGUGUGAAAUUCCAAGGCUUAACCUUGGCGCUGCACUUGAA